rnacentral:rRNA from 1 species
UUAAGCGACUAAGCGUACACGGUGGAUGCCCUGGCAGUCAGAGGCGAUGAAGGACGUGCUAAUCUGCGAUAAGCGUCGGUAAGGUGAUAUGAACCGUUAUAACCGGCGAUUUCCGAAUGGGGAAACCCAGUGUGAUUCGUCACACUAUCAUUAACUGAAUCCAUAGGUUAAUGAGGCGAACCGGGGGAACUGAAACAUCUAAGUACCCCGAGGAAAAGAAAUCAACCGAGAUUCCCCCAGUAGCGGCGAGCGAACGGGGAGCAGCCCAGAGCCUGAAUCAGUGUGUGUGUUAGUGGAAGCGUCUGGAAAGGCGCGCGAUACAGGGUGACAGCCCCGUACACAAAAAUGCACAUAUUGUGAGCUCGAUGAGUAGGGCGGGACACGUGGUAUCCUGUCUGAAUAUGGGGGGACCAUCCUCCAAGGCUAAAUACUCCUGACUGACCGAUAGUGAACCAGUACCGUGAGGGAAAGGCGAAAAGAACCCCGGCGAGGGGAGUGAAAAAGAACCUGAAACCGUGUACGUACAAGCAGUGGGAGCACGCUUAGGCGUGUGACUGCGUACCUUUUGUAUAAUGGGUCAGCGACUUAUAUUCUGUAGCAAGGUUAACCGAAUAGGGGAGCCGAAGGGAAACCGAGUCUUAACUGGGCGUUAAGUUGCAGGGUAUAGACCCGAAACCCGGUGAUCUAGCCAUGGGCAGGUUGAAGGUUGGGUAACACUAACUGGAGGACCGAACCGACUAAUGUUGAAAAAUUAGCGGAUGACUUGUGGCUGGGGGUGAAAGGCCAAUCAAACCGGGAGAUAGCUGGUUCUCCCCGAAAGCUAUUUAGGUAGCGCCUCGUGAAUUCAUCUCCGGGGGUAGAGCACUGUUUCGGCAAGGGGGUCAUCCCGACUUACCAACCCGAUGCAAACUGCGAAUACCGGAGAAUGUUAUCACGGGAGACACACGGCGGGUGCUAACGUCCGUCGUGAAGAGGGAAACAACCCAGACCGCCAGCUAAGGUCCCAAAGUCAUGGUUAAGUGGGAAACGAUGUGGGAAGGCCCAGACAGCCAGGAUGUUGGCUUAGAAGCAGCCAUCAUUUAAAGAAAGCGUAAUAGCUCACUGGUCGAGUCGGCCUGCGCGGAAGAUGUAACGGGGCUAAACCAUGCACCGAAGCUGCGGCAGCGACGCUUAUGCGUUGUUGGGUAGGGGAGCGUUCUGUAAGCCUGUGAAGGUGUGCUGUGAGGCAUGCUGGAGGUAUCAGAAGUGCGAAUGCUGACAUAAGUAACGAUAAAGCGGGUGAAAAGCCCGCUCGCCGGAAGACCAAGGGUUCCUGUCCAACGUUAAUCGGGGCAGGGUGAGUCGACCCCUAAGGCGAGGCCGAAAGGCGUAGUCGAUGGGAAACAGGUUAAUAUUCCUGUACUUGGUGUUACUGCGAAGGGGGGACGGAGAAGGCUAUGUUGGCCGGGCGACGGUUGUCCCGGUUUAAGCGUGUAGGCUGGUUUUCCAGGCAAAUCCGGAAAAUCAAGGCUGAGGCGUGAUGACGAGGCACUACGGUGCUGAAGCAACAAAUGCCCUGCUUCCAGGAAAAGCCUCUAAGCAUCAGGUAACAUCAAAUCGUACCCCAAACCGACACAGGUGGUCAGGUAGAGAAUACCAAGGCGCUUGAGAGAACUCGGGUGAAGGAACUAGGCAAAAUGGUGCCGUAACUUCGGGAGAAGGCACGCUGAUAUGUAGGUGAAGUCCCUCGCGGAUGGAGCUGAAAUCAGUCGAAGAUACCAGCUGGCUGCAACUGUUUAUUAAAAACACAGCACUGUGCAAACACGAAAGUGGACGUAUACGGUGUGACGCCUGCCCGGUGCCGGAAGGUUAAUUGAUGGGGUCAGCGCAAGCGAAGCUCUUGAUCGAAGCCCCGGUAAACGGCGGCCGUAACUAUAACGGUCCUAAGGUAGCGAAAUUCCUUGUCGGGUAAGUUCCGACCUGCACGAAUGGCGUAAUGAUGGCCAGGCUGUCUCCACCCGAGACUCAGUGAAAUUGAACUCGCUGUGAAGAUGCAGUGUACCCGCGGCAAGACGGAAAGACCCCGUGAACCUUUACUAUAGCUUGACACUGAACAUUGAGCCUUGAUGUGUAGGAUAGGUGGGAGGCUUAGAAGUGUGGACGCCAGUCUGCAUGGAGCCGACCUUGAAAUACCACCCUUUAAUGUUUGAUGUUCUAACGUUGACCCGUAAUCCGGGUUGCGGACAGUGUCUGGUGGGUAGUUUGACUGGGGCGGUCUCCUCCUAAAGAGUAACGGAGGAGCACGAAGGUUGGCUAAUCCUGGUCGGACAUCAGGAGGUUAGUGCAAUGGCAUAAGCCAGCUUGACUGCGAGCGUGACGGCGCGAGCAGGUGCGAAAGCAGGUCAUAGUGAUCCGGUGGUUCUGAAUGGAAGGGCCAUCGCUCAACGGAUAAAAGGUACUCCGGGGAUAACAGGCUGAUACCGCCCAGGAGUUCAUAUCGACGGCGGUGUUUGGCACCUCGAUGUCGGCUCAUCACAUCCUGGGGCUGAAGUAGGUCCCAAGGGUAUGGCUGUUCGCCAUUUAAAGUGGUACGCGAGCUGGGUUUAGAACGUCGUGAGACAGUUCGGUCCCUAUCUGCCGUGGGCGCUGGAGAACUGAGGGGGGCUGCUCCUAGUACGAGAGGACCGGAGUGGACGCAUCACUGGUGUUCGGGUUGUCAUGCCAAUGGCACUGCCCGGUAGCUAAAUGCGGAAGAGAUAAGUGCUGAAAGCAUCUAAGCACGAAACUUGCCCCGAGAUGAGUUCUCCCUGACUCCUUGAGAGUCCUGAAGGAACGUUGAAGACGACGACGUUGAUAGGCCGGGUGUGUAAGCGCAGCGAUGCGUUGAGCUAACCGGUACUAAUGAACCGUGAGGCUUAACCUU